UUAAAAAAAAUAUAUAUCUAUAAAGCCGUGUCCCCUAGACCUCCCUCCUCAGUGGCAGCGGAGCGGGAACUGUUGGAGGGCAGGACCCCGGCGCGGUGCCGAGCGGUGGCGGCGGCGGGGGCUGCGCGCAGCUCGGGGCUCUCCCGCCGCCGCGGCUCUCCCGGGCGGCCCCGGACUCCGCGCCGCUCUCCUCGCUCCGCUCCUCUCUCCCCUCCUCUCCCGCCGCCUCCGCCUCCCACCGCCGCGGACACACCGGCUGGCGGGGCGAGGGAGGAGAAUGAGCGCGGCUCCCGCGGCUGCCUGGGGAAGGGAGGCUGCGGGGUGUGGACUAAACCACUGCGCUCCACACCCACGCGUCCCUCUCCCUCUCUCUCUCCUCGCGGGGUAGGGAGAUGGGGACGGCGAUGCCAGCAGGCAGCCGCAGGGCUGGGAAUCAGGAUCGCUGCCUCCCCUCUACAGUUGGGUGUAGGUAGGAUUUACAUGAUUGCUCCUCACCGCUUCCUCUUUAAUGGGCAGCUAAUUUUUCGGUUACAUCUGCUUAAGAGUGAUGCAGAAACUCCCCACAAGCCAAGACCAACAUCUUUUCAGAUUUGGAUAACUCGAGUCUGA
ensembl:lncRNA